CCCUUAGACGUUCUGGGCCGCACGCGCGCUACACUGACGAAGGCAACGAGCUUUCCUUUACCGAAAGGUACGGGUAAUCUUUUGAAACUUCGUCGUGCUGGGGAUAGAUCCUUGCAAUUUUUGAUCUUAAACGAGGAAUGCCUAGUAAGCGCAAGUCAUCAACUUGCGUUGAUUACGUCCCUGCCCUUUGUACACACCGCCCGUCGCUACUACCGAUUGAAUGGUUUAGUGAGGCCUUCGGAUCCGCGACUCGUUUUGUGGAGAAGUUGGACAAACUCAGUCAUUUAGAGGAAGUAAAAGUCGCAACA
rnacentral:rRNA from 1 species